UAGCCAUAGAUAGUAGAGGAAGGGGAUUGUGAACGAGAUCACGUGCGCUAUAGAUCAUACAUGAGAGCUGAGGUCUAUCCGCGUUAGACCGCGAAUUGACUAAUUUUGAGCGGGCUAAAGACUUUUCAGAGUUUUACUCGGUUCUAAAGGUGUGAUUGUAAACAAUGGGCAUGGGAAGUCAGAAAUUGCGUUUUUUUCAGCAAAAGAAAAGCAAGAAGCAGCAGACAUCCCCCGUCUGAGUCGACCAGCAACUCUUGAAUCUCUCCACUUCUUGGUUGCCAAGUCAGUGUUGAACUAAUUGCCGUCGAGAACGUGCUCACCAUUGUCAAGCUGCUAAGAGCUGAUGUCAUCGUCACCUCGUGUGUUCAGUGCCAGCUCAUUUGGAAUUUGUCAGUACGUUCUGAAUAUACCCUUACACCCCCUCUCUCAACUCAUCAACCUAAGUUACCUUCACCAGCGUGCUGUGCUAUUUUGAUUGAGAUCCAUCGAUUCCAUGAACUUUUGUGAUGAAAAUCCUGGCCUUAAAUGUUUAGUGAAAGCAUCACUCUUCUACACUUAUUAUAGUUGAUCAGGUAAGUUCUGUCAAAAAAUUGUUCACGAACCGUUACCCAAACGCAGAAGGUCUGACAACACAUUCUGACUCAUAUCGUUCAUAAUGUACGUGUAUCUUUACAUUGUCAUAGCUUGUCUGCAGUUCAUAAUAAUGUUAUAUAGAUGAUGA